UAAAGAUUCAUCGCUGAUAGAUAGGCAUGCGUUCCAUUAGGCAGUUGGCGGGGUAACGGCCCACCAAACCGACGAUGGAUAGGGGUUCUGAGAGGAAGGUCCCCCACAUUGGUACUGAGACACGGACCAAACUCCUACGGGAGGCAGCAGUGAGGAAUAUUGGUCAAUGGGCGUAAGCCUGAACCAGCCAAGUCGCGUGAGGGAUGAAGGUUCUAUGGAUCGUAAACCUCUUUUAUAAGGGAAUAAAGUGCGGGACGUGUCCCGUUUUGUAUGUACCUUAUGAAUAAGGAUCGGCUAACUCCGUGCCAGCAGCCGCGGUAAUACGGAGGAUCCGAGCGUUAUCCGGAUUUAUUGGGUUUAAAGGGUGCGUAGGCGGCCUUUUAAGUCAGCGGUGAAAGUCUGUGGCUCAACCAUAGAAUUGCCGUUGAAACUGGGAGGCUUGAGUAUGUUUGAGGCAGGCGGAAUGCGUGGUGUAGCGGUGAAAUGCUUAGAUAUCACGCAGAACCCCGAUUGCGAAGGCAGCCUGCCAAGCCAUGACUGACGCUGAUGCACGAAAGCGUGGGGAUCAAACAGGAUUAGAUACCCUGGUAGUCCACGCAGUAAACGAUGAUCACUAGCUGUUUGCGAUA
rnacentral:rRNA from 1 species